rnacentral:rRNA from 1 species
GUUUUUUUUUUUUUGAGCACUCUGAGUAAGGUCAAAUGAAUCCUUUUUAAAACUUUCAACAACGGAUCUCUUGGUUCUGGCAUCGAUGAAGAACGCAGCGAAAUGCGAUAAGUAAUGUGAAUUGCAGAAUUCCAGUGAAUCAUCGAAUUUUUGAACGCACAUUGCGCCCAUUAGCACUCUAAUGGGCAUGCCUGUCCGAGCGUCAUUUCAACCACUCAGACCUAUAGAGUCUGGCGUUGGGGCAUCUACAGUUAAUCGUAUGCCCUGAAAGAUAGUGGCGGUGUCCGCUAGCAUUCCGGGCGCAGUACAGUUUCUCCUCGCCCAGGGACGUCUUAGGGGCUGCCGGCCGUAAAACAGCCUAAAGCUUAGAAGGGUGACCUC